ACUUCCGGCCUCUGCGUUCCACACACAGGAAGAUAGUUUUUUUCUUUCGCAGCAACUUCCGGGUUUCCCUCGAGCGGGAGUCAGUCGUCCGCAAAAGCAGUGUGUAUCAUUGGGUGUGUCAGGUGCCUAUAAGGUGUCAGGAUGUCACUGUCCAUCUCUCCAUGCAGGAGGGGGAAUAUAUAGAGGAACACAGGGGUCUGUACAAGGACGUGAUGAUGGAGAAUCACCGGCCCCUCACAUCACUGGAUGGGCCCAGUAACAGAGCUACCCCAGAGAGAUGUCCCCAUCCUCUGUAUUCCCAGGACUGUACAAAGGAGAAUCACAGGAUCCCACAGGAGG